rnacentral:rRNA from 1 species
ACRACUGUGAUUCCCCUAGUAACUGCGAGUGAAGCGGGAAAAGCCCAACGUUGAAAUCUCCCUGCGGUCACGCAGGGCGAGUUGUAACGUAUAGAUCGGUUCUCAAGCGAGUGUGAUGGCUCUGAGGUUCUCCGGACUGAGACGCCAUAGAAGGUGAUAGCCCUGUGAAUGGGGUCGUCCGCUCGCAAAUGUGACCGAAUCUUAGAGUCGGGUUGUUUGGGAUUGCAACCUAAAGUGGGUGGUAAACUCCACCUAAGGCUAAAUAUCGACACGAAUCCGAUAGCGAACAAGUACCGUGAGGGAAAGUUGAAAAGUAUUCUGAAGAGAGAGUUAAAAGUACGUGAAACCGCUAACAGGGAAGCGGAAGGGCGUGUCGAGAUUGUCGCAUCUUAGCACGGUUAAAGCUGUCAACAAGACUUUGCCGUGUUUGUUGUGACGAUGCGUCAGGCCUGUUGGUGACUGCGGUAGGUCGUGGGAUGGCCGUCACAAGUGGCACUUGUGUCAGUGUGGCGGCGCUCGCGUACUGGCUGUUGACGCUGACAAGUUUGAGAGAUGGGACGUCGUCGGUUCCCUAUGGGGGAUCGCCUAGUGCAGUGCAAGUUGGCUGGCAGAGUGAUUUCGCUUUGUGAGUCGAGGAGUGCUGUAGUGGGAGGCGAUGCCAGAUCCUGACGAGAUACCGAACCUUCCGACCCGUCUUGAAACACGGACCAAGGAGGCAGAAGUCACAGCGAGUUGGAGAGUGAAAAACUCGACGGCGCAGUGAAAGCAAUGUUCGUCCUCGCGACGAAGAGAGUGAGAUCCCUCUGGGCAAUUUAUUGUUCGCGGGGGAGCAUCACCGGCCGGUUGGGACGCAUGAGCCCAAUCGAGUCAGAGCUGUGUCUGCUGAACCCGAAAGAUGGUGAACUAUGCGUGAGCAGGGCGAAGCCAGAGGAAACUCUGGUGGAGGCUCGAAGCGGUUCUGACGUGCAAAUCGAUCGUUGGACUUGCGUAUAGGGGCGAUAGACUAAUCGAACCAUCUAGUAGCUGGUUCCCUCCGAAAUAUCCCUCAGGAUCGCUGAGACUAUAUAACGACAGUUUCAUCGGGUAGAGCGAAUGAUUAGAGGCAUCGGGGAUAGAUUACUCUCGACCUAUUCUCAAACUACCANUMGGUGAUAGCGGCGGUUACUUUGGUGAACCGUCGCGCGAUGUAAAGAAUG